rnacentral:rRNA from 1 species
GAUGAACGCUGGCGGCGUGCCUAAUACAUGCAAGUCGAGCGAAUGGAUUGAGAGCUUGCUCUUAUGAAGUUAGCGGCGGACGGGUGAGUAACACGUGAGCAAUCUGCCCUUGACUCUGGGAUAACUGCGGGAAACUGUAGCUAAUACCGGAUACUUUCACCGGAAGGCAUCUUUUGGUGAUGAAAGAAUUUCGGUCAGGGAUGAGCUCGCGGCCUAUCAGCUUGUUGGUGAGGUAACGGCUCACCAAGGCGACGACGGGUAACCGGCCUGAGAGGGUGACCGGUCACACUGGGACUGAGACACGGCCCAGACUCCUACGGGAGGCAGCAGUGGGGAAUAUUGCACAAUGGGCGCAAGCCUGAUGCAGCAACGCCGCGUGAGGGAUGAAGGCCUUCGGGUUGUAAACCUCUUUUAGCAGGGAAGAAGCGAAAGUGACGGUACCUGCAGAAAAAGCACCGGCUAACUACGUGCCAGCCGCCGCGGUAA